GGGCAGGCUGAGAUAGCUCAGUUGGUAAAGCAUUAGGCUCUUAACCUCAGGAUUGUAGGUUUGAGCCCCACAUUGCUCA